AUACUUAGCUGGCAGAGGAGAUACCAUGAUCACGAAAGUGCUUUACCCAGGGUGAGAAUUAUCCUUUACACUCUGGAUGUGCUGACUCCUGCAAUUUCCCCAAUUGUGCAAAACUUGACUGUAUAAUUGUGGUAGUGGUGUACUGCUUUCAUGGUUUCCCCUA
rnacentral:snRNA from 1 species